GACGAACGCUGGCGGCGUGCUUAACACAUGCAAGUCGAACGAAGUGGCGAACGGGUGAGUAACGCGUAAUCAACCUGCCCUUCAGAGGGGGACAACAGUGGGAAACGACUGCUAAUCCCGCAUACUGAAGGAGGGGAUUGUGUCUGAAUAGCUAGUUGGAGGGGUAACGGCCCACCAAGGCGAUGAGCACUAGCCGGUCUGGGAGGGUGAACGGCCACACUGGGACUGAGACACGGCCCAGACUCCUACGGGAGGCAGCAGUGGGGAAUCUUCCGCAAUGGACGGAAGUCUGACGGAGCAACGCCGCGUGAGUGAUGACGGCCUUCGGGUUGUAAAGCUCUGUUAAUCGGGACGCGGUACCGGAAUAGAAAGCCACGGCUAACUACGUGCCAGCCGCCGCGGUAAUAC
rnacentral:rRNA from 1 species